CCAGAAAGAUGCGUCCUCAGGGCUAGGAAUGUCCUGGUAUCUGGUCCUGGUCUCAGCUGUCACUGCUGGCUCUGUGCUUCUCCUGAGUCUGCUCAUCCUCUUCACCUGGGUCAUCCCCAGGUUAAAGGCAUGGCGUGCAACGAUUAGACCAACACAGGGCAAGACUAGCGAUGUCUAUGAAGACAUGCGCACCACCAUCAGACGUGCACACCCCCCUCAGAUGGGUUAUUAGUGAUGUUGCACGGCAGCCAUCUUUACUUUGGGCACCAACCUAAGACAGGUUGUUACAGAUGUUGCAUGGCAGUCAUCUUUACUUUGGGCACGACCUUCAGACAGCUUGUUACUGAUGAUGCACGGCAGCCAUCUUUAAUUUGGGUCCAAAUGGAAGCUCAUGUCAGCUGACUAGGAGACAAUUAUGUCAACAUACUGUAAUACAUGAUGUCAACGAAGGACUUUGAAAGAUAUAUUCUCAAGUUGUGUUAGGUAGCAAGGGCUUGCAUCAAUGAUGUGCACUUAUGUCAGUCAUUCAACCUCAAGGUAAGCUACCUAUAUACUGUAGCUACUUAAGUAAGUACACAGCAUUGUAUGUGACUGACAUCACACACUGUAAAUGGUUGUUCAUACAGAGGUUUUUUAUGGUCCUUGACCCUGACGCAGCAGCUAGAAUUUGAGUCUUGUAAUUACAACCACAAUUUAACUUGAAAAUAGCACUGAUUGCUGUGUAUGGAAUUUCAAUGUCUUUAGCUGUACAUUCUAUUUUUCUUUAUAGAUUGACAAUAUCUUUUUUAACAACUUUUAAAUGUUGAAUUGAUUCUCUAUUGUAUAUAUGUUUUUACAUAUUUGAUGGCAUUGGGCCUAUGCCUAUUUUUCAGGCGCCAGGCAACUUUUACUGCUAUUUUAUUGUAAUACUUUUGCAUUCUUUAGUUCCUGUACUGAUCAUGUUGUUCCUGUAAAGAUAGUCUAUUUUUUUAUAAUAAAUUAGUCAUAAUACUAACA